rnacentral:rRNA from 1 species
UAGGGAGGGUGCAAGCGUUAACCGGAAUUACUGGGCGUAAAGCGUGCGCAGGCGGUAACGCAAGUCAGAUGCGAAAGCCCCGGGCUCAACCUGGGAACUGCAUCUGUGACUGCAUUGCUGGAGGACCGCAGAGGGGGAUGGAAUUCUGCGUGUAGCAGUGAAAUGCGUAGAUAUGGGGAGGAACGCCGAUAGCGAAGGCAAUCCCCUGGGCGAGUACUGACGCUCAGGCGCGAAAGCGUGGGGAGCAAACAGG